rnacentral:misc_RNA from 1 species
GAUGAAGAACGCAGCGAAAUGCGAUAAGUAGUGUGAAUUGCAGAAUUCAGUGAAUCAUCGAAUCUUUGAACGCACAUUGCGCCCCUUGGUAUUCCAUGGGGCAUGCCUGUUCGAGCGUCAUCUACACCCUCAAGCUCUGCUUGGUGUUGGGCGUCUGUCCCGCCUUUGCGCGCGGACUCGCCCCAAAUCCAUUGGCAGCGUUCCUUGCCCCCUCUCGCGCAGCACAUUGCGCUUCUCGAGGGCGGCUCCGGGACGCGAUCCAGCAAGAUGACCACCGUCUUUGACCUCGGAUCAGGUAGGGAUACCCGCUGAACUUAAGCAUAUCAAUAAGCGGAGGA